rnacentral:rRNA from 1 species
UACGUAGGGGGCAAGCGUUGUCCGGAAUCAUUGGGCGUAAAGCGCGUGUAGGCGGCUCGAUAAGUCCGCUCUGAAAGUCCAGGGCUCAACCCUGGGAUGCGGGUGGAUACUGUCGGGCUCGAGUCCGGAAGAGGCGAGUGGAAUUCCCGGUGUAGCGGUGAAAUGCGCAGAUAUCGGGAGGAACACCAAUGGCGAAGGCAGCACUCUGGGACGGUACUGACGCUGAGGUGCGAAAGCGUGGGGAGCAAACAGG